rnacentral:RNase_P_RNA from 1 species
GUAGUGGUACAAGAGGAAAGUCCGGGCAGCACAGGGCAUUCCGCUUCUUAACGGGAAGGAGUCCGUGAGGGCUGAGCAGUACAGAAGAAAACAACCGCCUCCGCAUGGUGUGCGGGCAGUGUCGGCAGUUCGCUGACGGCAUCUUGUUCCGGAACAUCAUGAUUCUGCUUAAGGAGGUAAGGGUGAGAAGGUGAGGCAAGAGCUCACCAGGCGGCUGGUGACAGUCGUGCUGUGUACCUCGGAAGAUGAAAGUCCGCGUAUACCGGCGUCAGAGGGCGGCCCGUCCGAAUGUCGUGGGCGACAUGCGCCGGAGGGUAGGACGAUAGAGGUGGUCGGUGACGUCCAUCGUAGAUAAAUGACGAACGCUGCAUUCGUGCAGUACAGAACCCGGCUCAUAGGCCGGCUGC